ACGGCAGCACGGGAGCAAUCCUGGUGGCGAGUGGCGAACGGGUGAGUAAUGUAUCGGAACGUACCUUUCAGUGGGGGAUAACGUAGCGAAAGUUACGCUAAUACCGCAUAUUCUGUGAGCAGGAAAGCAGGGGAUCGCAAGACCUUGCGCUGAUUGAGCGGCCGAUAUCAGAUUAGCUAGUUGGUGAGGUAAAGGCUCACCAAGGCGACGAUCUGUAGCGGGUCUGAGAGGAUGAUCCGCCACACUGGAACUGAGACACGGUCCAGACUCCUACGGGAGGCAGCAGUGGGGAAUUUUGGACAAUGGGCGCAAGCCUGAUCCAGCCAUGCCGCGUGAGUGAAGAAGGCCUUCGGGUUGUAAAGCUCUUUCGGCCGGGAAGAAAUCGCAUGGGUUAAUACCCUGUGCGGAUGACGGUACCGGCAUAAGAAGCACCGGCUAACUACGUGCCAGCAGCCGCGGUAAUACGUAGGGUGCGAGCGUUAAUCGGAAUUACUGGGCGUAAAGCGUGCGCAGGCGGUUUUGUAAGACAGGCGUGAAAUCCCCGGGCUCAACCUGGGAACUGCGCUUGUGACUGCAAGGCUAGAGUACGGCAGAGGGGGGUGGAAUUCCACGUGUAGCAGUGAAAUGCGUAGAGAUGUGGAGGAACACCAAUGGCGAAGGCAGCCCCCUGGGUCGAUACUGACGCUCAUGCACGAAAGCGUGGGUAGCAAACAGGAUUAGAUACCCUGGUAGUCCACGCCCUAAACGAUGUCAACUAGGUGUUGGGUGGGUAAAACCAUUUAGUACCGGAGCUAACGCGUGAAG
rnacentral:rRNA from 1 species